AAGAGGGGAUUUUAACAGUGCCACAGAAAAUAAGCAGAUGGUGGAGCGAAUGGCAAAAACAUGACAGGGCUGCCCUGGUCUCCAACCAUCUGGUUUGGGCCUUAGUGGGUGUUUGGACCUCGGGUGGAUGUUUGGAGCUCACACACACUCGGUCCAUGGGCAGCAGGCACGGGGCUGGGAAGGGACAGGGGCAUGAACAGCCCACAGAUGAGGAUCUGACCUCAGGGAAACAGGGGCAGACCCUCGUUCCCCUCUGUAACAAGGGGUUCUGAAUUCCACCCACCCCAGCUGAGCUGGCUGUGGUCCCCCUGCAGUGACAGUGGGUGAGGGCUCAGUGUCACUCCAGGGUUUGGCAGGACCCCUCUGACUCCCUCUGACCCUUCUGCACGUCAGGGCUGAGCAUUUCCUGCUGCCUGACCCAACUAAAGUGCAGCAAUAAAAUUCAGGGUGGAGCUGUGUCCAGCUCUGGGGUACCCAGAACAGAGAGGACAUGGAGCUGCUGGAGAGAGUCCAGAGCCUUUCCAAGCAUAAGGAAUGAGGAAGACUGAGGCCAAAACAUUGGAGAGCUUAGGAAACUUUGUCAGCCUGGCUUUGAGCAUUGAGAAGGUGCAAAGUACCUUCUGUGUGUGUGUUCAUGUCUCUGACAGAAAUGGGAAUAGGAAGAUGAGAUCAAGAUGCUUUUGGUACAUUACUGGAAACAUAAUAAUAAUAAAAAAAAGAGCAACCUCCAAGCAGUUCAGGGUCAGAUCCUGGAGAGUCCAGGUGCCAACACUCUGGUUUCCCCCUGGAGGUGCUGGGACAGGACACCACCCUGGCACUGCUCUGGCUGGAGGAGGAAGAGGCACCAGCCUCAUUUUCCCCUCUGCUCUUGCAGAAUUCCCUUU